UUGACCCGAUGGUGCAUGGUCCUUUUGGGUUGCCUUCACCAAAGCAACUUGAUAGGAUGAAUUAAGGAGAGAAAGGAUUAAAUAUGAUUUAUUAAUAUAUUAUGGGAAUAAUAUAUUAAAGGAGAAAUCAUAUUGUUUAAUUAAUAUUAGUCAAGAAGUAAUUGGUAAUUAGUUUUGUGACUAAAAGAGAUUAAUUAAACUUAAGGGACUGGAAUUGUAAUUAUAAGAUAAUUACAAUUUGGGCCAUGGAUUGCCUUAUAUUAUAAGGUGGACGAAUUCUAUGGGGGAAGCCCAUAUGAAAUCGUCCAAGGCCUUAAUUAAAGGGAUCCAUGGGUUGCUUAGGGCUUAAGUAUCCAAAUUAGGGUUUCCUUGUUAGAUAACCCUAAUAGCCUAACUAUAUAUAGAUCCCUUAAGGACCAAAAAUGUGGCUAAGACUUGCUCUAGGGUUUAUAGACAUUUUUGGUAGCCUCCAUCCUCUCUCCUCUUCAUCCUCUUGCUUAUGGCAUUUGUGAACCAUUAGAGGAGUGACACUUGUGACUCUAAGCCUUCCAAAUUCAAUUCAAGGAGGAAUUGGGAUUGUUAUUGCUACAUAACAAUCAAGGUAACAUUAUAAACUUAUUCUCAUGUUAAUAUGAUUAUUUGAAUGCUAGAAUUAGGGUUUAUAGUCUUGGAUAACUUGCAUGUACAAUAGAGAAACCUAGAUCCAAGCAUUAGGGUUUGUAUGAGCACAUAGGAUGUCUUAUGACCAAAACCCAUCAGUGGUAUCAGAGCCUAGAUUGGUUUCAAUUGUAUUGAUGCAUUGCAUGUUUGAAAAAUUCUAUUUUUUAGUUUUUGGAGUCUGGACUCGCCGAGUCCAUAGCUGAACUCGCCGAGUCCAUGCUUGACUCGACGAGUCAACUCGUCAGAUGGAGCGUACUUCGGGAUUUCUUGCUGUUUUGCUUAUGGAUAGUUACCUUAUCAUGUUAGAUCAAUAUUAAUCCGAUUAUAUGAUAUAUUUGACUAUAUUUUUGAUCUAAUUGAAGAUAUUUAUCAAUUAAUAAGAUAAUUGUUUCCUUAUGUGAUAAUUGAUUAAUUAUUUUGACUAAAUUGAUAAAUUGUUUUGCAAGAAAUCAUUAAAUAAAUCAAAUAUGGAUAAUUAUGUGAUUAAAUGUUAAUUUGAAUUAUUUGUUAUUUGAUCCUUGUUGUUAUGAAAUGUUUCAUAUUUUGCCCUUUAGGUUUUAUAGUUUAAAUUUGAACCCAAAAGUUUUGUUGUUUUGAAAUUUAAAUAGUUGAAACCCUAAUGUUUUGAAAAAGGUUUCAAAACUUGCCCUCAAGUUUUGGAAUUUAAAUUUUGAUUAAAUGGUUUAAUUUUGAUGUAUAUUUAAAUUCUAAACCCUAAUGUGUUGAAAUGUUUCAAAACUUGCCCUCAAGUUUUGGAAUUUAAAAGUUGAUUAAAAGUUUAAUUAGGAAUGUUAAAUUCUAAAACUCUAGUAUAGUUUUGAAAAAGUUCAAAUCACACCCUUAUGGUUUUAUUAAUUAAUUAAGGUGUAUAAUUAAAAGAGGUUUAAUAAAUCCAUAAAAGUUUAGGUUUACAAUUUAAUUGAAUUAAAAGUAUAAUUGUUAAAUUAGACCACCUAGUAUUUUAAAAGUAUAAAAUACACCCUAUACUAUAUAUAACAUUAAAAGUCUAACAUUAUAUAUAUGUAUGAGUAAAAGUCAGUCUUACCGUUAGUAGGCCUCAUUCACGAAGCUGGUCUAUAAGGGGUGUUUAAGGAAAUUGCCUAUAAAAUGGCGAUUGAAUGGGUAUCCACUCUUACCCACCGCACUCUUGACUAGUGGAGGGUCGUUAGCCGAACGGGUAGGAUAGGACGAAACCUUCCAUUAUAAGUAUAAUGAAUUAUUAAAGUAACUAAAUGUUUUCAUAAAAUUCCCAAUCUUAGUUACUUAGGCAAAAGUGAAUUGAUGCAAUUCCAUGAAAUUACACUUUGUGCCCUUGCGAAGACGUUAGUGGAGCGUGUGUGGUUAACCGGCACACUAAAUGGUUCUAAGCAAAGGUAGCAAAGGGUGACUCAAUGUUUGUCAUAGUUCGGUGGAGCGUGUGUGGUUUACCGGCACAUCGAAUAGGUGACUGUAACAUGUGAGGGCACCAUGUAAGUUUGCAUGGUUAUUCACACCCGCUUUGUGAUCCUCGGCAUCCCAGUCACAAACAAGAGGGGCAUAUCGAGAUUUAAACAUGCCAUUGAAAGUUCAAUGAAUCUCAAAGGAUCUAGGAGUUUUCAUAGAUUUAAAACUUAAAUUUCUUUUUCGUUUUUCAUGGUGGAAAUUAGUGAAUCGUCAUUCACUUACCUUCAAAUAUUCUGCAAUUAGGGUUACGGCAUCCCUCUCCCGAGUUGUAGAAUAUUGUGUUGGGUCCUAGCCUUAGUAUCUCAUUUGGGUGAUUUACUAAGGACUCAAUCAAUCAACUAACUUGAAUUCGUUUUCUCCCGUUUUGUAGAUGUCAAAGUUCGACAACUAUGGUCUUCCCAAAUCCCGUGGAACAAGCAUUCCACAUGAAGAUGAUAUUCCACGAUUCGAUCGAGGAACAAGAAAUCAUGCUUCACUUCCUCCUCCUCCUCCAAUUAUUCUCCCUAACCCACAAGUUCAAAGGCUUGAAAAGUUCAAGAUCACUCAAGCCCUUUUGGCAAGUAAACAUAAAGAAGGAAAGUCGGUGUGUGCACACGUCCUAGGGAUGAAGUCACACAUUGAUAGGUUAAGAAUGUUGGGAUCCGUUGUCUGUGAGGAAAUGGCUGUUGAUUGGGUUCUUCAGUCACUUCCUAACUCAUAUAGUGAGUUCGUAAGAGAGUACUAUAUGAUGAACCGCGACGUGACCCUUAUAGAUCUCACCUAUAUGCUUAUUGCUGCUGAAUCAGCAAUGGUUUGGCGCAAUAGAAAAGCAAAGUUGAUUGGUGAAUCUGCCUUCAAGACCUCUAUGGAUAUAGACAAUGGCAACGAAAGACAUGCUAUGAUCGAAAAGUUUGAUCAUAAGAGAAAGGCAAUGUCUGAAGUAGUUCCAUGUCAUGUUCCAAAAGAGUCAAUUUGCUUUUAUUGCCAAGAGAAAGGGCAUUGGAGACGAAGCUGCCCCAUUUACCUAAGAGAUCUAAGAGAUGGGAGAGUCGAAACGUAUGGCUCUAAUAUAGGUAAAAUCCAUUAACUAACUCUUUUAAGCUUCUAUUCUAGAUUCUUAAUACAUAAUGUGAUAAGAUUACAAUUGAUGUUUUGUAGGAUCGAAGAAAAGAAAGGAAGCUUAAGGGAAGAAGUGAGCAGAAUCUAACCGUGAAGGAAUGGAUUUCGAUCGCAUUUCUCGAAGAUUAGAUUCUUGAGCUACUACUUAGAGUUAGAAUUAGAUUGCUAAGAAAGAUGUAUUAGCAUAGUUUUUCAAUGAAUUGCAUUGUAAGGACAAAUUUUUUCCGCAAUAAAAUAAAUUUUGAUUUUAUAUUAUUUAUUUAUCCUUGCAAUGGCGUAUAUGAAAAAUUGAUGUUUGAAUGUUUCUAUUAUUAGCAAUAAUGGAUUUGGUUCUUAUUAUGUUAUUUAUGGAAAGUCGAGAAUUUACCAAAUAGGGAGAGUUUCUCAUCGCCCAAGUUUCAAUUGGACAGAAACUUGGAAUCAUGCAACUUGGUUGCACGAUGAAUGAGAAAUUUCAUAUUUGGAAAUUAGACUAAUUCAUUGACAAAGUGUCAAGUGAAGGACUAGGAGAUCGAGUACACAAAGUUGCGUGUUGAUCAAGUCCACCAUAAGAGUAACAAAGAUAUUCGUCAUGAUUUACUAAAGGUUUAGUAAAUAUGAUUAUACUUACAAGAUUAAGUGUAAUUCUGAAUUGAUUGAAAAAGUUUAAAUCAAUAGCAGAACGAAUAAGAAGAAUCAAGUAGGCAGAAAGAUAAAAGUUUCUCCAUUCUAAGAAGAAGGGAGAGUACCUUUUAUGCUUUAUGAUAGGUCUUAAUGAUUAAGAACCAUAUCUCAAUUGAUCCUCUAAGUGAGUCUUAGUACAAUUGUAUGUCUAAGAAGAGGAAUCAAGAAUUGAAGAAAUGGUUAAAUCAAGAAGUCAAUCAUACUUCGUUCCAAAACAAGUCUUAGAGUUAAGAUUGUGACAUUGAGUGAAAAGUAUUAAGAAGGUUUAUAACAUUCAUCAAAUGUGGAAAGUUGUGAUGUCUUGGAUAAGACAAAGACCAACUAGGACCAAUUUAUGAAGUGUUUUGAUAAAAGCUACACUAACUCUUGAAUAUUUGUUUGUCAAGAAAUGUUUAUUGACAAGAGAAUCUUAUAUGUCAAGGAGUCAGUGGGAGUCUUAAUGGUCUUGAAAGGUUUCAAGAACAAAUCAAAUAAACCUUAUCGAUCAUCACUAGCACACGAGUUGAGGUUUACAACCUAUCGUGUUGACAUUAUUUUGUUUCUGUGCCAAUCCAAUCGAGUUAAUUAUGCAUGUGAGUUCUAUGAGUUCUCAUUUUGAACGCAUAAAAGGCAAAGCACCUUAAUCAAUGAAAGGUACAUUGAUAGGAAAGGGUGAGCUGCUUAACUACUUGGAAGACAUGGUGGGCAGCUGUGCUACCAUAAGGCAAGAAAUCAAGAUUAAGAAAGUUCGGUCCAUAUGAGUUUGAAUUUGUCGUAAACUUUGGUUUUAACAAAUUCACAUGGAUAGGAACACAUACACCGUUUAAAUCUAAGUGUCAUAAGAUUUCCUCCUUCAUGAAAAUGAUUGUGAGGAAAUGCUUUCACUAAGAAAGAUUUUAAGAAGAUAGUGAUUGUAAAAUUGCAUUCUCGAAUUCGAUUAUGGUUACGGUAUCCCUUUCCAUAAUUUGAAUUGUGAGGUUUGGCAAUUAGUCUUAAUUGUUUAGACACACAUAUGAACUAUCGAAGGCAAAGGUGUAUAAGUUCAAGAAGCCUUGAUAAAAGAUUAUCAAAGCACUAAGUAUUAGAAACAUGAACUUAAGAAAUUCAAUAAGUAUUGUUUUUCUGAAAGUUAAGAUGUUUAUGAAUACAUGUCGAAGCUAGUGGGAGCAUAAGUGUUAUGUUUUAUAAUAAUCAUCAUGAUAGUGGGAGCAUAAAUGUUAUGAUUGUAUGAUUAUUAAGGAAAGUAUUGCAAGUUGGCAAUAUUAAUUAUAGAAAACAAGAGUCAUUCUUUGCAAAGUUGUAAGGAUGGAAUAGUUGUUUUGCUAUAAUUAAGGGAGAGAAUAUUAUGCUUCAUUUCAAAUCUAAAGGCUUAGGUUGAGAAAUGUUAAUAAAUUUAGUCAAAGGUACAUAGUGUGUUCUUAAAAUUUCGAUUAUGAUUACGGCAUUCCUCUUCACAAUUCGAAUUUUGAGAACAUAGCAAAUAAAACAUUAUGUGUUGUGUCCUAUACGCUUCGGGUAUAGGAUCGAUUGCAAAUGCUUCAAUGUUUGACCAUUCUUAAUUUUUUCCAAAUGUCUAGCGCAUUUAUAGGGAAAAGGGACUAGAAUUGGUUUUGAUUAAAAUAAUUAAACAACUAUCAAAGGACAAUCCAAAGUUCGACAAGGAUUGGUUGCUUGUGAGUAGUUGGAAGCAUGGUAUUAAAUAUACCAUAUCGACAUUAUUAUGAAUAGAAAAGAUUCUAUUAAGAAUGAGUUGUCAUAUGGAAAAUAUGGAAAUGUUUCCAUAUUGGAUGGACCAUAUCGACAUCAUUACGAAUAGAUAAGAUUCUAUUAAGAAUGAGUUGUCAUAUGGAAAAUAUGGAAACGUGUCCAUAUUGGGAAUUGAAUAUUGAAAAUCUAUGUCUAGAUUAGAAACUUUUAUGCAAAAGGAUGUUCAAAGGAAUGUACUUUGAGUGAGAGACAUCAUAUCUAAGGAAUUGUCUUGUAACAAUCUCCGAUAGAGGACUUUGUAAUAUCAUUGGCAAUAGUCUUUGUGACUUUGGUGCAGUGACAUUACGAAAGGAUCAUUGCAUAAAAUGUUAGAAUCUAGCAUAUUCUAUAAGUAGCAAGAAUUUGAUAUUCUUUCACUUAUGAAAAAGGAUUUGGAGUUGUGAAAUGAGAAUGAUUGGAAAUGUGUUCAAUUUGAUCUAUUUCACAAAGUAAGAACCAUAGGUAAACAUUGUGUGCAUGCUAGGAGCAUGGGACAAGUGUAAUAAUUCAAGUAAGAAGUUGAUUACCCGAAACGACAAAUAAUGAGUAAUCGAUAUGGUGAUAAAUAAAAGGUGUUUUAUUUAUACUCAAAGGUUUGAGGCCAUAUGGGAUUAGUAUUAUUCUUGUGUUUCACUUUGCAUGUUUUGACUUCCUGAAUAAUUUAAUUGGUUAAGAACAGUCAAAUUAUUCGAACGGGCCACAGUCGUUCAUAUGUUGGAAGUAGGUAUGAAUGAAGACUGUCGUGAAUUGGUGUGUGGAUUGUCUAAAGAGUAUUAGACAUAAGCAAAUGUUUGCUGCAACGUUCAUGAGUGCUUAUGAAUAUGAUUUGAGCAUUGGAUUAAACCCACGCUCACUUGGAUCACUCCAUGAAUUGUAUCACGAGUGAUUGGUGAGACGAUAACAUCUUAUAUUCUUGAAACCGAGAUGUGUGAGUUGUAUCUUGCAAAUCGGUUGCACAUUGAUAAUAUGUAAACGCACUAGUAACUUGGUGUUAUAAAACAUAUUGUUGUGUGUGAUUCGGUGAGUGAGUGCAAGCAAGCAUUGUAUCAAAGUUUAUCCGUUCCUUUUAUCCAAAGUAGGAUAAAAGCGAUAUCUUUGGGCCCCUCGAUGAUUUAGUGAUGACAAACGUAAAUGCUCGGCCGGGCUAGGGCUAAUUUGAUUUGUUCAAUUAGUCAGUCGUCAUAAAUCAGGAAUCGAGAUAUAGUACAAAGAGAAUGAUUUGAAAUCAUAUCUCAUAUGAUAUCUAGAAUGGAGGAAUAUAUGAUCCCUUAUCUAAGGACACGCGUAUCUGAUAGGAUCAGAGUUGACAGCGGCUUUGGAAAGCUACGAUUGCAGAUCAGGAUCUGAAGUCAUACGCAGAAUAGUUAUUAGACUUAUCCAAGUGGGAGACUGUUGGAUUAGUGUCUAAGUCCAUAACUAUUUUGGUAUGUACUUGACCCGAUGGUGCAUGGUCCUUUUGGGUUGCCUUCACCAAAGCAACUUGAUAGGAUGAAUUAUGGAGAGAAAGGAUUAAAUAUGAUUUAUUAAUAUAUUAUGGGAAUAAUAUAUUAAAGGAGAAAUCAUAUUGUUUAAUUAAUAUUAGUCAAUAAUUAAUUGGUAAUUAGUUUUGUGACUAAAAGAGAUUAAUUAAACUUAAGAGACUGGAAUUGUAAUUAUAAAAUAAUUACAGUUUGGGCCAUGGAUUGCCUUAUAUUAUAAGGUGGACGAAUUCUAUGGGGGAAGCCCA
rnacentral:lncRNA from 1 species